CGAAAAAGACAAAAAUCAACUAUUGGAGUUUGACGAAGCUUUGAUGGCUCAAGAGUUAUCAUUUGGCAUAGAAAUUUGUCGAAAAGGCUCGACAACUUGAGUCUGACGUUAAACUCCUGCGAUCGAAGAGAUCUUUGUGCGAAAAACAGAUGGAGCUCCUUAAGGCCAAGUAUCUUCAGAUCAAAGCUAACCUUCCCUUUUAGUGCUGCUUUAUUUAUCUGGUCAAUGUACUGAAAUUUUUCUUUGUAAUAAAUAUUGGUCUUUUG
rnacentral:lncRNA from 1 species